rnacentral:lncRNA from 1 species
CUGCACUAUAGGAGGUAUAGUAGUUUCUUGCUAACAGGUUCCAUCCACAGCAAAUGACUCUGCACCACCCCACUCUCUCUUUCUAUCUCAUUAGUAUCAUCACAGUCUUGGGAGGUGGCUGGGAGCACUGGAGAAAUCACACAUGCAAGUGGAAGGCAGCAAGCAGACAAGAUCUCUUUCUCCUAUCUUGGCUCUAUAUACCUAGCAUAUCCCAGCUGCUAUUACCUCUGUAGUGAGACUAGGGAGGGUCAUCAGCCUAUGGGAGGGCGAGCUGUACAGUUUUACUUACCCAUUCUUGGGUGAAAAGGGGGGUGUUUUGGGCCAUCUCCCAAUAAAGGUUCUCCUCUAUCUUCCAGAUUGUCUAAGCCCAGUGUGGAGGAACCAUCAAGGAUUUCAGCACGUUUUUUUAGCCAUUGUGAGAAGCAAAAGUGCUCAGGAGUUAAGAGAAGCAGACGUCCGAAAUUAUCUCCAUGCAUUACCAAAAACCGUGGGCACCACGGCACGGGGAAAACUUACCAGGUACAAUGAGCCAGUGACUGUUACUGAAUUUCUUAAGAUUACACUUUUCCCAACUACUGCAGACUGCUUCAGAAUAGAAGAAGGUAAGUAAGCAGGGUGAUUACAAGCAAUCCUCCUCGGAAGUGAAACUCACUCUUCUAAGUUUACCUCUGUUUUGAAUUAUUUCAGACAACUCUCAUGCCAUCAAGCCGACGGACUUUCAAAAAAAUAAAAGAUGCAUUUCUUUACUUGUAAGUAUUUGUCUUUGCAAAGGGCUCUCUGAUAUGGUAGCACAGAAGUUUGCACAUUCUAAGGAUCUGAUGUUUUGCCCUCUUCGGGUAUCCCGGCUGGAAGGAGCUACGGUGAAAGGGCACCUAAGGUGAAUGGACAGAUUGUAGAUGGGUGCACACAGGAAAAUGUACAGCUCCUACAAUGUAUUCUGAGGGCCCAUGAGAAGUAAAAGCAGGCACUGGCAUUCUGCACAGAUGAAAUACUUCCUACGACAGGAAUACAUGCUCACUUGUGGACUUCUCUGUAAUCUGUAGGCAACAUCAGCUCCUGAUUUCUAGGUCUGGAUCUGGGUUCUCUGUAGCACAGGAAGCAUAGUUACUCUGUGAUGAAGAAAAACUCAGAAAACUAUCCAGAUGUGGGAAUUUCUCGGGUAUUCCUUGCACUUGAACUUAAGGAUGAAUGAAGGUAUAUACAAGUCUCUACUUCUCCUACAUAAAUGCCUUGCAUGGCGGGAACUAAAUCAACUACACAGACCCAUACAUCCAGAGAGCAGAGGUGAGCUGGAUACAAGUGGCUUAGAGAUGUGGUGGAAGGAGGCCAGAGCUCCAAGGGAAGGGCAGCAAGGAGACAACAGCAUGGGUUGCAGCUCAGACAACAGGUAAAUAAAACCAAGCAAAGCUGCUGGUCACAGAUUUGACCAGGGUGGCAAGAAAUGACAAGCUACCAUGAGAUUCAACAGUGGCACGGAAGGAUGAUGAGAAGCAAACAGAUUAGGAGAAGCUGCCACCACCGUACAUAGAGGCACAGAUGACCAAGCAGAACAGCACCAGUCCCUGCAAGGUGUGCUCAGAUACAGCUCAGCACAGCCAUCUGGCCAGGAGGGAAUGAUAAUGCACAUGGUGUGCACUGCAGCCGGGAAGUUGAGAACCGCUGUGGGCACCUCAGGACUGAGUCUGGUUACCCUGCUGAUCCAAGAAAUGAAGCCAUCUAAAAUUUUGCCUGCUUUCACAAUUUUCUGUGUGUGUGUGUGUGUAUUAAACAAAGUGAACUAAGAAGCCUUUUAUUGGAGACAUAAUGUACUCACAGUAGUUUCAAAAUCAAUGGUGUCACUCUUCAGGUAAAUUACUCCAAGGCUUGGGCCUAGUGCAGAUGUUCAUUGGGGCAGGGAGCAGAGAGCGGCUGCAUCUAGAUCAGACAAAAAACAAAAAUAAGGUUGUUAAAUGAACAGGUGAUGGUGAUGGCAAUUAUUUAUUUUGAUAGGAAAG